GCCGUGGAUGCUCACCCAAGUGCUAACCUCCGCCGCGAGCUCCGGACUCUGCCGGUGACUUCCUUUUCUCCUCCGCCAACAAUCUUGCCAGUUGGAGCCCCGUCGGCGUCCGACUUCCUCACCGUCGACAAGCCGCGCUCCUCACGGACGUCAUCGUCACCAUCACCAAGUUGCAUCCAUGCCGAGGUCAUCCUCUGCCAGAAGCUCCACCGUGUGUUGCGUCGCUAAACCGUCCACAGGCAGCUCUCGGCACCGUCCAAUAUCUUCAGACAUCCGCCCCGUCAAGCAGGUUUAGCAGAAGAGUUGUUGGCAGUGACCUACCACAUGUAGAAGCACCUGACAAUGUGGAUGCUCCACGGAAUGUUAUGCAGCGGAUGCAAUAGUUUCUUCACUAGUAAGUUAGCGCUAGUUUUUUCUAAUACUUAAAAACAAUUGUUCAUCAUAAGUUGCAGGAAUUGCAUCCUAGCAAUUGUGCGAGAACCAAAGAGGGUUACACCAGAUCGUCUUUACUACAUGAACACAUCAUUGCUAAGUUUACUUACAACCGAAAGGAACCUCAACUAUAGAGGCACACAUUGAAAAGUUUGAUAGGGCUAAUCAAGGUGCAGAAUCAACCAUACCAAGACGAGCAGUUCACUAGCCAGGUAUACUCAAACCACAUAUCAGAAGAAACGUAGUGUCCUGUUUUGUACA